CCUACGGGGGGCAGCAGUGGGGAAUAUUGCACAAUGGGCGCAAGCCUGAUGCAGCCAUGCCGCGUGUAUGAAGAAGGCCUUCGGGUUGUAAAGUACUUUCAGCGGGGAGGAAGGUGUUGUGGUUAAUAACCACAGCAAUUGACGUUACCCGCAGAAGAAGCACCGGCUAACUCCGUGCCAGCAGCCGCGGUAAUACGGAGGGUGCAAGCGUUAAUCGGAAUUACUGGGCGUAAAGCGCACGCAGGCGGUCUGUCAAGUCGGAUGUGAAAUCCCCGGGCUCAACCUGGGAACUGCAUUCGAAACUGGCAGGCUAGAGUCUUGUAGAGGGGGUAGAAUUCCAGGUGUAGCGGUGAAAUGCGUAGAGAUCUGGAGGAAUACCGGUGGCGAAGGCGGCCCCCUGGACAAGGACUGACGCUCAGGUGCGAAAGCGUGGGGAGCAAACAGGAUUAGAU
rnacentral:rRNA from 1 species